GAUGAACGCUAGCGGGAGGCUUAAUACAUGCAAGUCGAGGGGUAGAUAGUCUUCGGAUUAUCGAGACCGGCGCACGGGUGAAUAACGCGUACACAACAUGCCUUAUACUGGGGUAUAGCUUCGGGAAACUGAUGGUAAUCCCCCAUAACAUUUCGGAAUCGCAUGGUUCUGUAAUUAAAGUUACGGCGGUAUAAGAUUGGUGUGCGUUUGAUUAGGUAGUUGGUAGGGUAGUGGCCUACCAAGCCGACGAUCAAUAGCUGGCGUGAGAGCGCGACCAGCCACACUGGAACUGAGACACGGUCCAGACUCCUACGGGAGGCAGCAGUAGGGAAUAUUGGACAAUGGGCGAAAGCCUGAUCCAGCCAUCCCGCGUGGUAGAUGAAGGCCCUCUGGUUGUAAAUACCUUUGCAAGGGAAGAAACUCUCCGAUUCAUCGGAGCCUGACGGUACCUUGCGAAUAAGCAACCGGCUAACUCCGUGCCAGCAGCC
rnacentral:rRNA from 1 species